rnacentral:rRNA from 1 species
GAUUAACGCGAAGAACCUUACCUGGGCUUGACAUGCAGGAAGUAGAAACCGGAAACGGCGACGACCUGUUAAGUCAGGAACCUGCACAGGUGGUGCAUGGCUGUCGUCAGCUCGUGCCGUGAGGUGUUGGGUUAAGUCCCGCAACGAGCGCAACCCUCACUCUAUGUUGCCAUCGGGUAAUGCCGGGCACUCUUAGGGAACUGCCGGCGAAGAGCUGGAGGAAGGGGGGGAUGACGUCAAGUCCGUAUGCCCCUUAUGUCCAGGGCUACACACAUGCUACAAUGGCCGAUACAGAGGGUUCCCAACCCGCGAGGGGGAGGCAAUCCCACAAAGUCGGUCUCAGUUCGGAUUGCAGGCUGCAACUCGCCUGCAUGAAGUCGGAAUCGCUAGUAAGCGCAGAUCAGCAGGCUGCGCUGAAUACGUUCCCGGGCCUUGUACACACCGAAUCACUAGU